rnacentral:rRNA from 1 species
CCUACGGGAGGCAGCAGUGGGGAAUUUUGGACAAUGGGCGCAAGCCUGAUCCAGCAAUGCCGCGUGCAGGAAGAAGGCCUUCGGGUUGUAAACUGCUUUUGUCAGGGAAGAAAUCUUCUGGGCUAAUAUCCCGGGAGGAUGACGGUACCUGAAGAAUAAGCACCGGCUAACUACGUGCCAGCAGCCGCGGUAAUACGUAGGGUGCGAGCGUUAAUCGGAAUUACUGGGCGUAAAGCGUGCGCAGGCGGCUUUGCAAGACAGAGGUGAAAUCCCCGGGCUCAACCUGGGAACUGCCUUUGUGACUGCAAGGCUAGAGUACGGCAGAGGGGGAUGGAAUUCCGCGUGUAGCAGUGAAAUGCGUAGAUAUGCGGAGGAACACCGAUGGCGAAGGCAAUCCCCUGGGCCUGUACUGACGCUCAUGCACGAAAGCGUGGGGAGCAAACAGGAUUAGAUACCCUGGUAGUCCACGCCCUAAACGAUGUCAACUGGUUGUUGGACGGCUUGCUGUUCAGUAACGAAGCUAACGCGUGAAGUUGACCGCCUGGGGAGUACGGCCGCAAGGUUGAAACGUCAAAUGAAUUGACG